UCUUAACUGCUGAGCCAUCUCGCCAGCCCCGAGUUGCUUUUUUUUUAAGGCAGGGUUUUAGUAUGUAGUUCUGGCUAACCUGGAACUUAAUAUGUAAACUAGGCCAGCCUAUAACCCACAGAGACCACCUGUUUCUACCUCUGAGCAGGAUUGCAGGAAUGCACACAUACCUUGCUUUUCAUUUUUGACAUUUUGCUUUAUUGCAUUUAUUUAUAAGGGGGUAUGCUAUAGUGUGCAUGUGGUGGACAUCAGUCUUGGUGGCAAAUACCUUUUCUAGCUUGGCUGUAAGACCCCAACCCUCGAUCCACUAGUGAUACUUCGAGAUGCCCCCGAGUGAGACACUGAGACACAGAUCGAUGCAAAAGCAAGAGGCCUAUUUUCCGGCACAUCAGGAUCAACCUUCAAUUAGACCCUCAAGACAAGUGACUAGGUGACCCCCGAAUGGCUAUUACACAGUUUUUAUAGUUUUUAGGGGGCACAGGUUACAUCAGCAAGGUUACAGUUUAAACUUAUUGGCUAAGCAUAUUGACUUUUAAAUCUAUUGGCUAGCAAGCAUGGGCAGAUCAUGGCACGCAUUUGAACUCUAUCUGGGACUUUGCAGAGGGUCAGGUGACUAUCAGUACAUUUUCUCAAGAAUGUUCCUGCUCCUCCCAAGAACUGUGGUUGGAGAACCGAACUUUGCCUAGCCUUGACCCCCUUCCCCCCCUCCCCCCCGGCAGAAAAGGGAACCUGUGGGGGGUGGGGGGUGGGGAUGGGGGGUGUAAGGCUGGCAAAAGCCCUUCACAGCCACAGUCAGCCCAAGCUUUUUUUUUUUUUGGUCCAUUUUAUCUAUAUUUUCCCACUGACUAGCAUAGUUAAAUUGUUGAAAAUGGGUGCUGGCAGCACGGACGCUGCAUUCAAACUUUGGCCAGAUUGUCCAAUAAAGCCUGGCGUUUACAAGGAAGAAAAAGCCAGUGUUUAGUUUUCUCUGAGAUCUAUUGAGUUGAGGGCUUUCAGGGUCAGAUAAGGUUUUUAAGUUGGCUGGAGCUAGUUACUUGAAUGACUCUCUUUGUAGGGACUGUAGAUACCAGGACUCAGCAGAAUUCGGCAAGGAUGAUUGGGAGUUGAUGGAUUUCAUUUUGUAAUACUAUUUGGGAUUAGCCUUUUCUCCUGGGUGUUUAAGACCUUGUAGAUAGCCACACAUUAGACCCUGUUAUGGGUAGACGGGGCUCCUUGAGGGUUUCUUUGAGCAGGUUGUUUGGAGAACCUUAGCCUCCUUUGCUCCUUUCAAUCAGUUGUGUGAUCUGCGGGAUGGGUCAAGGUCUUGGUAAGAAGUGUUUAUCCUCUGGUCUCCUGUGACCUAGCUAAAAUAUUGAUUGUCAUCUCAACCCCUUGUCUUACUGGUCUUAGAUUCCAAUAUAACUGUUAAAUGCCCAUAGUGUAGUUACAACAGAUUUGAAGGACAAACUGUGGUUUGAAACACUGCUGUUCUGUAACACUAAAAACUUGACUCACAGUAAGACUUUUUGUAAUUGAAAUAUAUAUAUUUGUAAUUUUAUCUAUUUAAUGUAUGAGUGCUCUGAUGCACAGGCCAGAAGAGGGCAUCAAAUCCCCUUAUAGAUGGUAGUAAGCCACCAUGUGGUUGCUGGGACUUGACCUCAGGACCUCUGGAAGAGCAGCCAGUGCUCUUCUUAACUGCUGAGCCAGUUUACCAGCCCCAUUUUUUUUAAAGGCAUGUACCAUUAUGCUCAUCUAAUUUUUUUAUGUAUGAGUGCUCUACCUGCAUGUACAUCUGUAUGCCAGAAGAGGGCAUCAAAUCCCAUUAUAGAAGCCACCAUGUGGGUGCCAGGAAUUGAAUUUAGGACUUUAGGAGAGACUGAGCUAUCUCUCCAACCCUGUAUUUAAAAUCUUGACAAACUUAGUAGAAACUGCAAAAAAAAAUUUUUUUUAAGAAAACAUAUUGUCUUUGCUCUUUGAAAGCUUUAUGUAUUUUUAGCAAUGUCCCUUAAGUUAGUUUGUAUAAGUCUCAUUGUGACAUGAAUUUUCUGGUUUUUUUGUUUUUUUGUUUUUUUGUUUUUUUUUUUCUGAUCUCCUUUUCACAAUCCUUUACUUCAGUACAAAACUAUUUUAUCAUACAAAGUCUUUGCCAAAAAGCACCUGCUUCUCAUCAGGAUAGUGUCUCAGAGUAAAGAGGCCAUCAAAGCCUGCACAUAGACCACAUCUAAUUACUAAAUUUAUAAUAGUUAAGCAUUUAUCUUCUUUUAAAAACUCUCUUGAGAAGUUCCUGUGAUAUAUGAUGUGUUUUGUUCAGAUCCUUUCUCUAGCUCCUUCCAUGCCCACCAAACC
rnacentral:lncRNA from 1 species